rnacentral:lncRNA from 1 species
UUAUUCUUGUUGCUUAUAUUUAUCAUCUAUUAUAGAUUCAAUAAUCCCCUAAUUUUGUUUCCCUCUUGAAGCUCAUUUACACUAUCAAUCUCUUUGUUUGUGGUAAUAGCUUUCAAACGUUGUCUCAAAAAGGGUCCUUGGCUGGACAAAGGGAGAGAAGUGGGGUCCCUCACUCCUGUCUAUCUCUCAGACCAUCAGAGCAACCCUCUUUCAUCUAUUCACAUUGGGGAUUUAUUUACAAUUUGCUAUGAAAAUGAUCUGCUAAUAAAAUUUUUGAAAGUCAGUGACUUGACACAUGAUAUGAGUUACUAGUGUCAUAAGUUGUGCUCAUUAUACUCAUCUUAAAAAUAGUUUCUUCAAGCUCUAACGUUUAGACUUUUCUAGUAACUAAUAGAGUCUAUACUUCAUGCUCUUUAUCAGACUAUGAAUAAAAAUACUAAGAGACUUCAUUUCUUCAUCAAGGGAUAUAUCCAUUUGUUCCUCCUCUUGGUUAUAGUUCUGUAGACACAGAAAAAUGUUAAUUUUCCUAUAUCUACAUAUCAUUUCCUCUCUCAAAGUGCAAAUGAGCUAAGGCAGUCUGCAUGGGUGUGGUUCGCCUGGCCCACAGGUAAGGACCUGACAGAUAAAACAGCACCAACCCCAAGGCAGGU